CAGGGGGGUACCGGUACAGAGUCAAUGUGGAGGCUAUAUACAGGGGGGUACCGGUACAGAGUCAAUGUGGAGGCUAUAUACAGGGGGUACCGGUACAGAGUCAAUGUGGAGGCUAUAUACAGGGGGUACUGGUACAGAGUCAAUGUGGAGGCUAUAUACAGGAGGUACCGGUACAGAGUCAACGUGGAGGCUAUAUACAGGGGGUACCGGUACAGAGUCAAUGUGGAGGCUAUAUACAGGGGGUACCGGUACAGAGUCAACGUGGAGGCUAUAUACAGGGGGUACCGGUACAGAGUCAACGUGGAGGCUAUAUACAGGGGGUACCGGUACAGAGUCAAUGUGGAGGCUAUAUACAGGGGGUACCGGUACAGAGUCAAUGUGGAGGCUAUAUACAGGGGAUACCGGUACAGAGUCAAUGUGGAGGCUAUAUACAGGGGGUACCGGUACAGAGUCAAUGUGGAGGCUAUAUACAGGGGGUAUCGGUACAGAGUCAAUGUGGAGGCUAUAUACAGGGGGUACCGGUACAGAGUC
rnacentral:lncRNA from 1 species